GAUGAACGCUGGCGGCGUGCCUAAUACAUGCAAGUCGAGCGAACAGACGAGGAGCUUGCUCCUCUGACGUUAGCGGCGGACGGGUGAGUAACACAUGGAUAACCUACCUAUAAGACUGGGAUAACUUCGGGAAACCGGAGCUAAUACCGGAUAAUAUAUUGAACCGCAUGGUUCAAUAGUGAAAGACGGUUUUGCUGUCACUUAUAGAUGGAUCCGCGCCGCAUUAGCUAGUUGGUAAGGUAACGGCUUACCAAGGCAACGAUGCGUAGCCGACCUGAGAGGGUGAUCGGCCACACUGGAACUGGGACACGGUCCAGACUCCUACGGGAGGCAGCAGUAGGGAAUCUUCCGCAAUGGGCGAAAGCCUGACGGAGCAACGCCGCGUGAGUGAUGAAGGUCUUCGGAUCGUAAAACUCUGUUAUUAGGGAAGAACAAAUGUGUAAGUAACUAUGCACGUCUUGACGGUACCUAAUCAGAAAGCCACGGCUAACUACGUG
rnacentral:rRNA from 1 species